UACAGAGGUCCCAAGCGUUGUUCGGAUUCAUUGGGCGUAAAGGGUGCGUAGGUGGCGUCGUAAGUCGGGUGUGAAAUCUCGGGGCUUAACUCCGAAACUGCAUUCGAUACUGCGGUGCUUGAGGACUGGAGAGGAGACUGGAAUUUACGGUGUAGCAGUGAAAUGCGCAGAUAUCGGGAGGAACACCAAUGGCGAAGGCAGCUUGCUGGGACGGUACUGACGCUGAGACGCGAAAAGCGUGGGGAGCAAACAGG
rnacentral:rRNA from 1 species